rnacentral:rRNA from 1 species
GUUGGGUAGGGGAGCGUUCUGUAAGCCUGUGAAGGUGGCCUGUGAGGGUUGCUGGAGGUAUCAGAAGUGCGAAUGCUGACAUAAGUAACGAUAAAGCGGGUGAAAAGCCCGCUCGCCGGAAGACCAAGGGUUCCUGUCCAACGUUAAUCGGGGCAGGGUGAGUCGACCCCUAAGGCGAGGCCGAAAGGCGUAGUCGAUGGGAAACGGGUUAAUAUUCCCGUACUUGGUGUUACUGCGAAGGGGGGACGGAGAAGGCUAUGUUGGCCGGGCGACGGUUGUCCCGGUUUAAGCGUGUAGGCUGGUUUUCCAGGCAAAUCCGGAAAAUCAAGGCUGAGGCGUGACGACGAGGCACUACGGUGCUGAAGCAACAAAUGCCCUGCUUCCAGGAAAAGCCUCUAAGCAUCAGGUAACAUCAAAUCGUACCCCAAACCGACACAGGUGGUCAGGUAGAGAAUACCAAGGCGCUUGAGAGAACUCGGGUGAAGGAACUAGGCAAAAUGGUGCCGUAACUUCGGGAGAAGGCACGCUGACACGUAGGUGAAGUGAUUUACUCAUGGAGCUGAAGUCAGUCGAAGAUACCAGCUGGCUGCAACUGUUUAUUAAAAACACAGCACUGUGCAAACACGAAAGUGGACGUAUACGGUGUGACGCCUGCCCGGUGCCGGAAGGUUAAUUGAUGGGGUCAGCGCAAGCGAAGCUCCUGAUCGAAGCCCCGGUAAACGGCGGCCGUAACUAUAACGGUCCUAAGGUAGCGAAAUUCCUUGUCGGGUAAGUUCCGACCUGCACGAAUGGCGUAAUGAUGGCCAGGCUGUCUCCACCCGAGACUCAGUGAAAUUGAACUCGCUGUGAAGAUGCAGUGUACCCGCGGCAAGACGGAAAGACCCCGUGAACCUUUACUAUAGCUUGACACUGAACAUUGAGCCUUGAUGUGUAGGAUAGGUGGGAGGCUUUGAAGCGUGGACGCCAGUCUGCGUGGAGCCGACCUUGAAAUACCACCCUUUAAUGUUUGAUGUUCUAACGUGGACCCGUAAUCCGGGUUGCGGACAGUGUCUGGUGGGUAGUUUGACUGGGGCGGUCUCCUCCUAAAGAGUAACGGAGGAGCACGAAGGUUGGCUAAUCCUGGUCGGACAUCAGGAGGUUAGUGCAAUGGCAUAAGCCAGCUUGACUGCGAGCGUGACGGCGCGAGCAGGUGCGAAAGCAGGUCAUAGUGAUCCGGUGGUUCUGAAUGGAAGGGCCAUCGCUCAACGGAUAAAAGGUACUCCGGGGAUAACAGGCUGAUACCGCCCAAGAGUUCAUAUCGACGGCGGUGUUUGGCACCUCGAUGUCGGCUCAUCACAUCCUGGGGCUGAAGUAGGUCCCAAGGGUAUGGCUGUUCGCCAUUUAAAGUGGUACGCGAGCUGGGUUUAGAACGUCGUGAGACAGUUCGGUCCCUAUCUGCCGUGGGCGCUGGAGAACUGAGGGGGGCUGCUCCUAGUACGAGAGGACCGGAGUGGACGCAUCACUGGUGUUCGGGUUGUCAUGCCAAUGGCACUGCCCGGUAGCUAAAUGCGGAAGAGAUAAGUGCUGAAAGCAUCUAAGCACGAAACUUGCCCCGAGAUGAGUUCUCCCUGAGACUUUAGGUCUCCUGAAGGAACGUUGAAGACGACGACGUUGAUAGGCCGGGUGUGUAAGCGCAGCGAUGCGUUGAGCUAACCGGUACUAAUGAACCGUGAGGCUUAACCUUACAACGCCGAAG